rnacentral:rRNA from 1 species
UCAAGUGAAUAAGCGCACAUGGUGGAUGCCUUGGCGACAGAAGGCGAUGAAGGACGUGGUAGCCUGCGAUAAGCUUCGGGGAGCCGGCAAAUAUGCUUUGAUCCGAAGAUUUCCGAAUGGGGAAACCCACCGCUUAGGCGGUACCUUUAGCUGAAUACAUAGGCUACUGGAGCGAACCCGGUGAAUUGAAACAUCUCAGUAACCGGAGGAAUAGAAAUCAACCGAGAUUCCGUUAGUAGUGGCGAGCGAACGCGGAACAGCCCAGUGCUCAUAAUUGCGUAAGUCUUAGUGGAACAGUCUGGAAAGUCUGGCCAUAGCGGGUGAUAGCCCCGUACAUGAAAAGACGAGCGCAUGGAGCACAAAGAGUAGGGCGGGACACGUGCAAUCCUGCCUGAACAUAGGGGGACCAUCCUCUAAGGCUAAAUACUCUCUGUCGACCGAUAGUGAACAAGUACCGUGAGGGAAAGGCGAAAAGAACCCCGGAGAGGGGAGUGAAAUAGAACCUGAAACCGUGUGCGUACAAGCAGUGGGAGCUCCGUAAGGAGUGACUGCGUACCUUUUGUAUAAUGGGUCAGCGAGUUACUUUCAGUGGCAAGGCUAACCGAAUAGGGGAGCCGUAGGGAAACCGAGUCUUAAUCGGGCGUUUCAGUCGCUGGGAGUAGACCCGAAGCCAGUCGAUCUAUCCAUGUCCAGGGUGAAAGUAGGGUAACACCUACCGGAGGCCCGAACGAACCACUGUUGCAAUAGUGCGUCGAUGAGGUGUGGAUAGGAGUGAAAGGCUAAUCAAGGCUGGCGAUAGCUGGUUCUCCCCGAAAGCUAUUUAGGUAGUGCCUCGUGUCAUUCACCCCUGGGGGUAGAGCACUGUUUAGACUAGGGGAACAUCCCGUUCUACCAAAUCUAUGCAAACUCCGAAUACCAGGGAGUGUUAUCACGGGAGACACACAGCGGGUGCUAACGUCCGUUGUGAAGAGGGAAAUAACCCAGACCAUCAGCUAAGGUCCCAAAGUUUUGGCUAAGUGGUAAACGAUGUGGGAAGGCUAAAACAGCUAGGAGGUUGGCUUAGAAGCAGCCAUCCUUUAAAGAAAGCGUAAUAGCUCACUAGUCUAGUCGGCCUGCGCGGAAGAUUUAACGGGGCUUAAGCCAAGCACCGAAGCUAUGGGUGUAACGAUCUUCGGAUCAAUACGCGGUAGGGGAGCGUUCUGUACGCCUGCGAAGGUGAACUGUGAGGUUUGCUGGAGGUAUCAGAAGUGCGAAUGCUGACAUGAGUAACGUUAAUGCGGGUGAAAAACCCGCACGCCGAAAACCCAAGGUUUCCUGAGCUAUGUUAAUCAGCUGAGGGUGAGUCGGAUCCUAAGGCGAGACCGAAAGGUGUAGUCGAUGGAAAGCAGGUUAAUAUUCCUGCACCGAUUAUUACUGCGAUGGGGUGACGGAGAAGGCUAGAUGAUCCGGGAUUGGCUCUCGGUUCAAGCUCGUAGGGAGAGAUUCCAGGUAAAUCCGGAGUCUCGUUAAUCCCGAGAAGUGAGUACGAGGUUUCUUCGGAGACCGAAGUCAUUGACGCCACGCUUCCAGGAAAAGCCUCUAAGCUUCAGGUAAUAGUCGUCCGUACCGCAAACCGACACUGGUGGGUAGGAAGAAAAUUCUAAGGCGCUUGAGAGAACUCGGGUUAAGGAACUCUGCAAUUUGACACCGUAACUUCGGGAGAAGGUGUGCCUUUGUUUGUGAUGGGAUUUACUCCCUGAGCAGAUAGAGGUCUCAGAUAAUCGGGGGCUGCGACUGUUUACCAAAAACACAGGACUCUGCGAACACGAAAGUGGAAGUAUAGGGUCUGACGCCUGCCCGGUGCCGGAAGGUUAAUUGAUGGGGUCAGCCGCAAGGCGAAGCUCUUGAUCGAAGCCCCGGUAAACGGCGGCCGUAACUAUAACGGUCCUAAGGUAGCGAAAUUCCUUGUCGGGUAAGUUCCGACCUGCACGAAUGGCGUAACGCUGGCCCCACUGUCUCGACCCGAGACUCAGUGAACUUGAAAUCGCUGUGAAGAUGCGGCGUAGCUGCGGAAAGACGGAAAGACCCCGUGAACCUUUACUAUAGCUUUACACUGAACUUUGAAUUUGUUUGUGUAGGAUAGCUGGGAGCCUACGAAGUGGGGACGCUAGUCUUCAUGGAGGCAACCUUGAAAUACCAGCCUGACACAUUCGCAGUUCUAACCUUGGCCCAUUAUCUGGGUCGGGGACAGUGUAUGGUGGGUAGUUUGACUGGGGCGGUCUCCUCCCAAAGAGUAACGGAGGAGUGCAAAGGUACCCUCAGCGCGGUCGGUCAUCGCGCAUAGAGUGCAAUCGCAUAAGGGUGCUUAACUGUGAGACGGACAUGUCGAACAGGUACGAAAGUAGGUGAUAGUGAUCCGGUGGUUCUGUAUGGAAGGGCCAUCGCUCAACGGAUAAAAGGUACUCCGGGGAUAACAGGCUUAUUCCUCCCAAGAGUCCACAUCGACGGAGGAGUUUGGCACCUCGAUGUCGGCUCAUCACAUCCUGGGGCUGUAGCAGGUCCCAAGGGUAUGGCUGUUCGCCAUUUAAAGUGGUACGCGAGCUGGGUUCAGAACGUCGUGAGACAGUUCGGUCCCUAUCUUCCGUAGCCGUUGGAGAUUUGAGGGUGAGUUGCUCCUAGUACGAGAGGACCGGAGUGAACGUAUCUCUGGUGUUCCGGUUGUCACGCCAGUGGCACUGCCGGGUAGCUAUAUACGGACGGGAUAACCGCUGAAAGCAUCUAAGCGGGAAGCCCCCCCCAAGAUUAGAUCUCCCUAGACCUUUAAGGUCUCUAAAGGGCCGUCGAAGACUACGACGUUGAUAGGCUAGGUGUGUACGCACAGUAAUGUGCUCAGCUAACUAGUACUAAUUGCCCGUGAGGCUUGACCAU